GAGGCGCUGGAUAACUCGAUUGGUGGAUGGAGAUGACGUUCACGGCCCGACUACAGCCCUCAAGACCGCGCCUUAGCAACUGAUACACCACGUCCAAUAGCCGUCACGAUCUUGUGGAGCGCGACAACCAGCCCCUAGGACUCCCGUCCUGCAAGCAAUCGAAGAACUAGCAAGAACGAGGAAACAAGCACAGAAUUUGCAAGAUGAAUUGAAGGUUUCAAACUGAAUCUGAAUCAACAAUGGGGUUCCGAAGACAAGGAGACGGGCG
rnacentral:lncRNA from 1 species